rnacentral:rRNA from 1 species
CCUACGGGUGACAGCAGUGGGGAAUAUUGCACAAUGGGGGAAACCCUGAUGCAGCGACGCCGCGUGAGUUAAGAAGUAUUUCGGUAUGUAAAGCUCUAGCAGCAGGGAAGAAAAAAGACGGUACCUGACUAAGAAGCACCGGCGAACUACGUGCAAGCAGCCGCGGUAAUACGUAGGGGGGAAGCGGUAGACGGAUAGACUGGGUGUAAAGGGAGCGUAGUCGGAGAAGCAAGUCUGAAGUGAAAGCCCGUGGCUUAACCACUGAACUGCUUUUGAAACUGUUUGACUAGAGUGCUGUAGAGGUAAGUGGACUUCCUAGUGUAGCGGUGAAAUGCGUAGAUAUUAGGAGGAACACCAGUGGCGAAGGCGGCUGACUGGCCAGUAACUGACGUUGAGGCUCGAAAGCGUGGGGAGCAAACAGGAUUAGAUACCCGGGUAGUC